CCUACGGGUGGCUGCAGUGAGGAAUAUUGGUCAAUGGGCGCAAGCCUGAACCAGCCAAGUCGCGUGAGGGAAUAAGGCCCUACGGGUUGUAAACCUCUUUUGCCGGGGAGCAAAGGCGGCGACGUGUCCCGCCCCUGAGAGUACCCGGAGAAAAAGCAUCGGCUAACUCCGUGCCAGCUGCCGCGGUAAUACGGAGGAUGCGAGCGUUAUCCGGAUUUAUUGGGUUUAAGGGGUGCGUAGGCGGGUUGUUAAGUCAGGGGUAAAAUUGCGGGGCUCAACCCCGUCCGGCCAUUGAAACUGGGGGUCUUGAGUGGGCGAGAAGAAGGCGGAAUGCGUGGUGUAGCGGUGAAAUGCAUAGAUAUCACGCAGAACCCCGAUUGCGAAGGCAGCCUUCCGGCGUCCGACUGACGCUGAGGCACGAAAGUGCGGGGAGCGAACAGGAUUAGAUACCCGGGUAGUC
rnacentral:rRNA from 1 species